AACGAACGCUGGCGGCGUGCCUAACACAUGCAAGUCGUGCGAGAAAGUUCCUUCGGGAGCGAGUAAAGCGGCGCACGGGUGAGUAACACGUAGGUAACCUGCCCCCCAGUCUGGAACAACUAGAGGAAACUCUAGCUAAUGCCGGAUGAGACCACGAUCCCUUCGGGGGUUGCGGCCAAAGAUGGCCUCUACUUGUAAGCUAUCGCUGAGGGAUGGGCCUGCGGGCCAUUAGCUUGUUGGUGAGGUAACGGCUCACCAAGGCUGUGAUGGCUAGCUGGUCUGAGAGGAUGACCAGCCACACUGGGACUGAGACACGGCCCAGACUCCUACGGGAGGCAGCAGUGGGGGAAUAUUGCGCAAUGGGCGAAAGCCUGACGCAGCGACG
rnacentral:rRNA from 1 species